UACGGGGGGGGCAAGCGUUGUUCGGAAUUACUGGGCGUAAAGGGCUCGUAGGCGGCCAACUAAGUCAGACGUGAAAUCCCUCGGCUUAACCGGGGAACUGCGUCUGAUACUGGAUGGCUUGAGAUUGGGAGAGGGAUGCGAAAUUCCAGGUGUAGCGGUGAAAUGCGUAGAUAUCUGGAGGAACACCGGUGGCGAAGGCGGCAUCCUGGACCAACACUGACGCUGAGGAGCGAAAGCCAGGGGAGCAAACGGG
rnacentral:rRNA from 1 species